UUAGGAGACAUAGUAAGAGGUGAGUCAGGUUCUGUCUUCUAUACCAUGCUGCCCCUGAGCAGAAACAAGGCUUUUCCGCAGCACAUUGAAGUUUCCAAGGGCGGGCUUUAAUGGCCCCCCUGCUUUCCAUCAAACAAAGGAAAAUCUCUGUGAGAGGUGGCAGAGAGCCAUGGAAGGGAAGAGGCUGAGAAAGUAUCUGAGGAUGAAGCAUCAUCGACCAUGAGGUUGCACAUUGCUUUCUCUUACUAAUGAUGAUAACAUCAGCUCUCCUUGUCUGACGAAACGGAGGCUUUUCAGAAACUGCAUUUCCCACACUGAGGUCAAGAUACUUCUAAGGAAGAAUAAACAGAUAGGAGGAGGCAAAUUCUCCAGAAAUGAGGAUAGUGCCAGAAGUAGAGGAGAUUCUCUCCCUUGUCGAUUGGAAAAAGCCAGCCACCAUGUUGUGAGUGUCCCAGUGAAAAGAGCUAUAUGGCAAGGAACCGAGGGUGGCCGUCAGCUGACAGCCAGCAAGAAACCAAGAUCCUCAGUCUGGUAGCUUGCAAGGCACUGAAUUCUGCCAACAACUGCAUGGGCUUGGCAAUGGAUCCUUCCUCAGUUAAGCCUCGGGUAAGACCCGAGCCCUGUUGGACACCUUAAUUGCAGCCUUACAGACAACCCAGCUAAGGCAUGUUCAGACCUGAUCCACAGAAACUGUGAGAUAAUCAAUGUGUGUUGUUUUAAGCCUCUGAGUGUGUGGUAAUUUGUUAAACAGCAUUAGUUAGCUAACACAGAUACCUAGACGGCUGGUAAAGCAUUAUUUCUGGGCGUGUCUGUGAAGGUGUUACUGAAGGAGAUUGACAUGUGACUCAGCGAACUGUGUGCGGAAGAUCUGCCCUCAAUGUGGGUAGGCACCAUCUAAUGUUGUGUUGGUGUACAACAAAGAGGCAGAGGAAAGGUGAAUUCACUCUCUCUCUACUGAAGCUGUGCUACUUUUUCUCUUGCCCGUGGACAUCAUAACUCCAGGUUCUCUGGCCAUUGGACUCUGGGACUUGCAUGAGCUAUGGGCUUCUCAGGCCUUCUGCCUCAGAUCAAGAGUCACACCAUCGGCCGGGUGCGGUGGCUCAAGCCUGUAAUCCCAGCACUUUGGGAGGCCGAGGCAGAUGGAUCACGAGGUCAAGAGAUCGAGACCAUCCUGGUCAACAUGGUGAAACCCUGUCUCUACUAAAAAUACAAAAAAUUAGCUGGGCGUGGUGGCGUGCGCCUAUAAUCCCAGCUACUCGGGAGGCUGAGGCAGGAGAAUUGCCUGAACCCAGGAGGCAGAGGUUGCGGUGAGCCGAGAUCGCGCCAUUGCACUCCAGCCUGGGUAACAAGAGCGAAACUCCGUCUCAAAAAAAAAAAAAAAAAGAGUCACACCAUCAACUUGCCUGGUUUAAAGGCCUUUGUACUUGGACUGAGAAAUGUCAUCAGCUUCCCCGGGCCUCUAGCUUGCAGAUGACCUAUCGAGGGACUUCUCAGCCUCCAUAAUCACACGAGCCAAUUCUCCUAAUAAAUCCCCUGUCACAUACCUAUUUAUCUACAUACAUAUAUCCUAUUUGUUCUGUCUUUCUUGGGAACCCUGACUAAAACAGUAUGUACUGCUAAAAGAUAAGGACCUUAAAAAAUAUUACCAUGUCUAAAAAUAAAAUAAUUUCUUAACAUCAUGAAAUAUCCAAGUGCUCUCCAAAUUUUCACAAUUAUUAAAGUCCACAUGUUGCAUUUAA